CGGCCAACGCGACCACCGAAUUCGACCCGCCUCCUAACGUGACGUUCGUGACAAAACACCGCGAACCCAAUCCGGGCAUUCUCCAAGCUUUGUUCACUGUUACGAGGUUUGUGGGAAGAUUCCUCAUUCCUGUCCCCGGCAUCUCAGAAGGAGAUAGAAACGCUGACGGUCACCAAUUACGCCAACUUUUCUGACAGCCUGAUGAAUAAACUACUAGAUUGCAAGACCGACUUACCAGGGUUCAUUCUCAGUGCCUUGGAGGAUACCCCCGGUCUG